rnacentral:rRNA from 1 species
UACGGAGGGGGCUAGCGUUGUUCGGAAUUACUGGGCGUAAAGCGCACGUAGGCGGAUAGUUAAGUCGGGGGUGAAAUCCCGGGGCUCAACCCCGGAACUGCCUUCGAUACUGGCUAUCUAGAGUUCGAGAGAGGUGAGUGGAAUUCCGAGUGUAGAGGUGAAAUUCGUAGAUAUUCGGAGGAACACCAGUGGCGAAGGCGGCUCACUGGCUCGAUACUGACGCUGAGGUGCGAAAGCGUGGGGAGCAAAC